AUACGAAGGUCCCAAGCGUUAUUCGGAAUCACUGGGCGUAAAGAGUACGUAGGCGGUUUGGUAAGUCAGGUGUGAAAUCCCGGAGCUUAACUCCGGAACUGCAUCCGAUACUGCCAGACUUGAGUAAUGGAGAGGCAGGUGGAAUUCUCGGUGUAGCAGUGAAAUGCGUGGAUAUCGAGAGGAAGACCAAUGGCGAAGGCAGCCUACUGGACAUUUACUGACGCUGAGGUACGAAGGCUAGGGGAGCGAAAGGGAUUAGAAACCCCGGUAGUCC
rnacentral:rRNA from 1 species